AGAGUUUGAUCCUGGCUCAGGAUGAACGCUGGCGGUAUGCGUAACACAUGCAAGUCGAACGAAGUUUUUCGGAACUUAGUGGCGGACGGGUGAGUAACGCGUGAGAAUCUGCCUUAAGGAUUGGGACAACAGUGGGAAACCGCUGCUAAUACCAAAUAUGCCUUUUAGUGAAACGGGUAAAACCGCCUUAAGAUGAGCUCGCGUCUGAUUAGCUAGUUGGUGUGGUAAGAGCGCACCAAGGCAACGAUCAGUAGCUGGUCUGAGAGGACGACCAGCCACACUGGGACUGAGACACGGCCCAGACUCCUACGGGAGGCAGCAGUGAGGAAUUUUCCGCAAUGGGCGAAAGCCUGACGGAGCAAUACCGCGUGAGGGAGGAAGGUUCUUGGAUUGUAAACCUCUUUUCUCAGAGAAGAAUAAUGACGGUAUCUGAGGAAUAAGCAUCGGCUAACUCCGUGCCAGCAGCCGCGGUAAUACGGAGGAUGCAAGCGUUAUCCGGAAUGAUUGGGCGUAAAGGGUCUGUAGGUGGUUGUUCAAGUCUGCUGUUAAAGCGUCUGGCUUAACCAGAUAAAGGCGGUGGAAACUGAACGACUAGAGUGCGGUAGGGGUAGAGGGAAUUCCCAGUGUAGCGGUGAAAUGCGUAGAUAUUGGGAAGAACACCUGUGGCGAAAGCGCUCUACUGGACCGCGACUGACACUGAUGGACGAAAGCUAGGGGAGCGAAUGGGAUUAGAUACCCUAGUAGUCC
rnacentral:rRNA from 1 species